rnacentral:rRNA from 1 species
GGCGAUGAAGGACGCGAAAGACUGCGAUAAGCCACAGGGAGGUGUCAAUAACCUUUGAUCUGUGGAUUUCCGAAUGGGGAAACCCAUCGUUUUAAACGAUAUCUACUAUGUAGAGGCAAACCUUGUGAACUGAAACAUCUAAGUAACAAGAGGAAAAUAAAUCAAUCGAGAUUCCGUUAGUAGUGGCGAGCGAAAGCGGGUUUGGCGAAUUGUUUAGACUAAUUAGAAUUAUCUGGAAAGGUAAACCAUAGGGGGUGAUAGUCCCGUAAAAAGUUGUCUAUUCAAUCAUAUUAAGUAAGGCGGGACACGUGAAAUCCUGUUUGAAUAUGGGGGGGCCAUCCUCCAAGCCUAAGUACUCCUUGAUGACCGAUAGUGAACUAGUACCGUGAGGGAAAGGUGAAAAGUACCCCGAACAGGGGAGUUAAAAGAUCCUGAAACCAAUUGCUUACAAACAGUCGAAGCUGGCUAGUCCAGUGACGGCGUACCUCUUGCAUAAUGAGUCAGCGAGUUUAUCUGUGAAGCGAGCUUAAGUCGUUAGACGUAGGCAUAGCGAAAGCGAGUCUUAAUAGGGCGUUUAGUUUUACGGAUAAGACCCGAAACCGAGUGAUCUAACCAUGAACAGGCUGAAGGCGUAUGAAAGUGCGUUGGAGGGCCGAACCAGUGAAUGUUGCAAUAUUCUUGGAUGAUUUGUGGUUAGGGGUGAAAGGCUAAUCAAACUCGGAAAUAGCUGGUUCUCCGCGAAAUCUAUUUAGGUAGAGCGUCGUAUGUUUCUCUUUGGGGGUAGAGCACUGAAUAAUCUAGGGGGGAGAGAUCCUUACCAAAAUUAAUCAAACUCCGAAUACCAAAGUGUAUAAGUACGGCUAGACAGACUAUAGGCGCUAAGGUCCAUAGUCGAAAGGGAAAGAGCCCAGACCACCAUCUAAGGUCCCAAAAUCAUUGUUAAGUGGAAAAGGAGGUGAGUAAACCAAGACAGUCAGGAGGUUGGCUUAGAAGCAGCCAUCCUUUAAAGAAAGCGUAAUAGCUCACUGAUCUAAUUAAGUUUACUUGCGCCUAAAAUUUAACGGGGCUAAAACAAUGUACCGAAGGUGUGGGUGUCCUAUUUUUUAGGACACGGUAGCGGAGCGUUCUGUAGGCCGUUGAAGAAAAGUUGUGAGACUUUUUGGAGGUAUCAGAAGUGAGAAAGCUGACAUGAGUAGCACUGAAGGCAAGUGAGAAACUUGCCCGCCGAAAAUUCAAGGGUUCCUGUUUCAAGGAUUGUCCGAACAGGGUAAGCCGGUCCCUAAGGCGAGGGCGAAAGCCGUAGUCGAUGGAUACCAGGUCAAAAUUCCUGGGCCGUGUUGAAAUAAAAGUGACGAAUCUUAACGGUUCCUAUUACUUAUUGGAUUGUAAUAGUAGCUAAUGAGGUUCCUGGAAAUAGCGAUCAACAAUGACCGUACCCUAAACCGACACAGGUGAAUUGGUAGAGUAUACCGAGGCGAAUGAGAGAAUGAUGUUGAAGGAACUCGGCAAAUUAACCCCGUAACUUAGGGAUAAGGGGUACUGUAGAAAUACAGUGGCACAUAAAUGGGAGUAGCGACUGUUUAUCAAAAACACAGGACUCUGCAAAGACGAAAGUUGAAGUAUAGAGUCUGACGCCUGCCCGGUGCUUGAAGGUUAAGAGGAGAGGUGAAAGCUUUGAAUUGAAGCCCAAGUAAACGGCGGCCGUAACUAUAACGGUCCUAAGGUAGCGAAAUUCCUUGUCGGGUAAGUUCCGACGCGCACGAAUGGCGUAACGACUGCUCCACUGUCUCCAACAUCAACUCAGCGAAAUUGAAUUCCCCGUGAAAAUGCGGGGUUCCCAUGGUUAGACGAAUAGACCCCAUGCACCUUUACUACAACUUUACAGUGGUGUCUGGUAUGUUAUGCGUAGGAUAGGUGGGAGUAUAGGAAGUGUUGACGUCAGUUAGCAUGAAUUACGACCUUGAAAUACCACCCUUAACAUAUUAGAUAUCUAACUGAGCUUCGUGAAUCCGGAGCCAGGACACUGUAUGGUGGGUAGUUUGACUGGGAGGGUCGCCUCCUAAAAAGUAACGGAGGCGUGCGAAGGUAGGCUCAGGCUGGUUGGAAAUCAGCUGUUCGAGUGCAAUGGCAUAAGCCUGCCUAAUUGCAAGACAGACAAGUCGCGCAAAUACGAAAGUAGGUCAUAGUGAUCCGGUGGUUCUGUAUGGUAGGGCCAUCGCUCAACGGAUAAAAGGUACGCUGGGGAUAACAGGCUUAUCUCCCCCAAGAGUUCAUAUCGACGGGGAGGUUUGGCACCUCGAUGUCGGCUCAUCACAUCCUGGGGCUGUAGAAGGUCCCAAGGGUUUGGCUGUUCGCCAAUUAAAGUGGUACGUGAGCUGGGUUCAGAACGUUGUGAGACAGUUCGGUUUCUAUCUGCCAUGGGCGUUGGAAGAUUGAGAGGAUCUGCCCUUAGUACGAGAGGACCAGGGUGGACAUACCUAUGGUGUGCCAGUUGUUAUGCCAAUAGCAGCGCUGGGUAGCUAAGUAUGGAACGGAUAACCGUUGAAAGCAUCUAAAUGGGAAACCAGCCUCAAGAUAAGUCUUCCCCAUCAGGGUCGUAGAAGAAUACUACGUUGAUAGGUCAAGUGUGUAAGUACUGCGAAGUAUUUAGCUAAUUGAUACUAAUCACCCGAUCGGUUUUU